GUAUGUUUGUAUAGAGUGUGUAUAUAAUGAAUGCAGAGUGUGUAUAUAAUGAAUGCAGAGUGUGUGUGUUUGUAUAGUGUGUGUGUAUAUAAUGAAUGCAGAGUGUGUGUAGUGUGUUUGUAUAUAAUGAAUGCAGUGUGUGCAUGUGUGUAUAUAAUGAAUGCAAAGUGUGUGUUUGUGUAGUGUGUGUAUAUAAUGUAGAGUGUGUGUGUGUAUAAUGAAUGCAGUGUGUGUGUUUGUGUAGUGAUGUAAUUUGUGUAAAAUGGGCGGGGGGGCACUUUUUAUUUUAAUUUUAUUUUUGAUAUUUUUAUGAGAUAG